rnacentral:rRNA from 1 species
UGAGAGUUUGAUCCUGGCUCAGGAUGAACGCUGGCGGCGUGCUCAACACAUGCAAGUCGAACGGUGAAAGAGAGCUUGCUCUCUGGAUCAGUGGCGAACGGGUGAGUAACACGUGAGCAAUCUGCCCCUGACUCUGGGAUAAGCGCUGGAAACGGCGUCUAAUACCGGAUACGAGCUGCGAAGGCAUCUUCAGCAGCUGGAAAGAACUUCGGUCAGGGAUGAGCUCGCGGCCUAUCAGCUAGUUGGUGAGGUAAUGGCUCACCAAGGCGUCGACGGGUAGCCGGCCUGAGAGGGUGACCGGCCACACUGGGACUGAGACACGGCCCAGACUCCUACGGGAGGCAGCAGUGGGGAAUAUUGCACAAUGGGCGCAAGCCUGAUGCAGCAACGCCGCGUGAGGGACGACGGCCUUCGGGUUGUAAACCUCUUUUAGCAGGGAAGAAGCGAAAGUGACGGUACCUGCAGAAAAAGCACCGGCUAACUACGUGCCAGCAGCCGCGGUAAUACGUAGGGUGCAAGCGUUAUCCGGAAUUAUUGGGCGUAAAGAGCUCGUAGGCGGUUUGUCGCGUCUGCUGUGAAAUCUGGGGGCUCAACCCCCAGCCUGCAGUGGGUACGGGCAGACUAGAGUGCGGUAGGGGAGAUUGGAAUUCCUGGUGUAGCGGUGGAAUGCGCAGAUAUCAGGAGGAACACCGAUGGCGAAGGCAGAUCUCUGGGCCGUAACUGACGCUGAGGAGCGAAAGGGUGGGGAGCAAACAGGCUUAGAUUCCCUGGUAGUCCACCCCGUAAACGUUGGGAACUAGUUGUGGGGUCCAUUCCACGGAUUCCGUGACGCAGCUAACGCAUUAAGUCCCCGCCUGGGAGACGCCCAC